rnacentral:misc_RNA from 1 species
GAUGAAGAACGUAGCAAAAUGCGAUACUUGGUGUGAAUUGCAGAAUCCCGUGAACCAUCGAGUUUUUGAACGCAAGUUGCGCCCGAAGCCUUUUGGCCGAGGGCACGUCUGCCUGGGCGUCACGCAUCGCGUCGCCCCCCACAAUUCUCCGUAAAGGGAACGUGUGUUUUGGGGGCGGAUAUUGGUCUCCCGUGCUCAUGGCGUGGUUGGUCGAAAUAGGAGUCCUCUCGAUGGACGCACGAACUAGUGGUGGUCGUAAAAACCCUCGUCUUUUGUUUCGUGCUGUUGCUCGCAAGGUAAACUCUUUAAAAACCCCAAUGUGUCGUCUCUUGACGACGCUUCGACCGCGACCCCAGGUCAGGCGGGACUACCCGCUGAGUUUAAGCAUAUCAAUAAGCGGAGGA